GUAAUUUCUAGUCCAGGCCAUGGAUAUCAGGACGGGCUGGAUUGACCUCAGCCCUGCGUUGGAGGAAGAAGGAAUUUUAAGUCAAGGGGUCAAAACUCAGAUACAGACACGCCCAGGCAGGCUGCACGCAGAGCAUUCUUCUAGUUUCCUGACACCUUCGGCCACCCUGCUGAAAUUCCAAGAAGCCGACUCUGCAUUUCUAGGUGACCGGGUCCAGCGGGGCCAGGCUGGCCCACCCACCCAGCCUCUGGUGCUGCUUCCCCUUUGGUUUCACCGGCUGAGGGGCCAGGAUGACACAGGUGCCAGGGACACCAACCACAUCUGAAAGACUUUCUUAACCAGCCUUCAAGUGCCUGGGUCGUGACCCCCUCAGCAGGAGAAGAUCUUGCUCCCCACCCACCAGGAACCACAGACCCCUCAGUCUCACAAAUGGCAGUUUGUCCUUCUGUCCAUCAAGGCCUGGCGUUGUCUGCCUCCUGGGAACCUCAGCAUCCUCCCGGAGGAGAUGUCACUACAUACCCAGCCCCACUGCCUCUCUUCCAAAGAACGAAAAGAGGAGAAAUCGAAAACAUAAUUCUGUAGCUGCAGGAAGAUCAGAGCAAAGAGAAAAAGAAGCAUCAGCAGACUUCCUCAACAGGAGCAUUUCGAGGCGAAGGAACAGAACACCAUGUCAACAGCAUCUCAGAGUGACCGUUUCUGGCGCUUGUUAGCACUGCCUUCAGAAACCGAGCGACUUUCAACUUUGGGUACAGACGGUAAAGAGCCGAAGUACUCACUACUCAAAGGGAUGGAGAAAUGUUAAGUCUUGUAUAAAUGCCAUACAAUUAAUUUCCAAUGGUGUAGAUAUUAAGUAAAAGUCUGUGAAUAUGUUAAUGAGGCCAAUUUUUCCAGCAUUUGUAAUGAUUUUUUUCACUUGUUAGGAAGCUUUUGUUAUGUAUUUUCUGUUAAUAGUACUUAAAACUGUAACAAGUGAAAAAAUAAUAAUAAAAGGAUAAAAAGAAA
rnacentral:lncRNA from 1 species